UACCCGCUGGAACUUAAGCAUAUCAAUAAGCGGAGGAAAAGAAACCAACAGGGAUUGCCUUAGUAACUGCGAGUGAAGCGGCAAAAGCUCAAAUUUGAAAUCGGUGUCCUUUUCGGGCAUCGAGUUGUAAUUUGGAGGGAUAUCUUCGGUACGGACUACAUCGUAAGUUCCUUGGAACAGGACGUCAUAGAGGGUGAGAAUCCCGUGUCUUGGUGUUUGGCCGUGCCAUGUGAAGUGUCUCCGACGAGUCGAGUUGUUUGGGAAUGCAGCUCAAAAUGGGUGGUAAAUUUCAUCUAAAGCUAAAUAUUGGCGAGAGACCGAUAGCGCACAAGUAGAGUGAUCGAAAGAUGAAAAGCACUUUGAAAAGAGAGUUAAAAAGUACGUGAAAUUGUUGAAAGGGAAGCGCUUGCGACCAGACUCGAUCUUUGGUGAUCAGCCGGGCUUCGGUCCGGUGCCCUCACCAUUGAUUGGGCCAGCAUCGGUUCUGACGGCGGGAUAAAAGGAGGAGGAAUGUGGCUCCCUUCGGGGAGUGUUAUAGCCUCCUUCACAAUGCCGCCAGUUGGGACCGAGGACCGCGCUUCGGCUAGGAUGCUGGCGUAAUGGUCUUAAGCGACCCGUCUUGAAACACGGACCAAGGAGUCUAACAUCUAUGCGAGUGUUCGGGUGGAAAACCCUUGCGCGUAAUGAAAGUGAACGGAGGUGUGAACCCUUCACGGGGUGCAACAUCGACCGGUCCUGAUGUCUUCGGAAGGAUCUGAGUAAGAGCAUAGCUGUUGGGACCCGAAAGAUGGUGAACUAUGCCUGAAUAGGGUGAAGCCAGAGGAAACUCUGGUGGAGGCUCGCAGCGGUUCUGACGUGCAAAUCGAUCGUCAAAUUUGGGUAUAGGGGCGAAAGACUUAAUCGAAUC
rnacentral:rRNA from 1 species